UACGGGGGGGGCAAGCGUUGUUCGGAAUUACUGGGCGUAAAGGGCUCGUAGGCGGCCAACUAAGUCAGACGUGAAAUCCCUCGGCUUAACCGGGGAACUGCGUCUGAUACUGGAUGGCUUGAGUUUGGGAGAGGGAUGCGGAAUUCCAGGUGUAGCGGUGAAAUGCGUAGAUAUCGAGAGGAACACCAGUGGCGAAGGCGGUUGCCUGGAGCUUUGCUGACGCUGAGGCGCGAAAGCGUGGGGAGCGAUCCGG
rnacentral:rRNA from 1 species